UACGUAGGGUGCGAGCGUUAAUCGGAAUUACUGGGCGUAAAGCGUGCGCAGGCGGUUUUGUAAGCCAGAUGUGAAAUCCCCCGGGCUUAACCUGGGAAUGGCAUUUGGGACUGCAAGGCUCGAGUGCGGCAGAGGAGACGUGGAAUCCUGGUGUAGCAGUGAAAUGCGUAGAUAUCAGGAGGAACACCAACGGCGAAGGCAGCCCGCUGGGACGGUACUG
rnacentral:rRNA from 1 species